UGGGGAAUAUUGCGCAAUGGGCGAAAGCCUGACGCAGCGACGCCGCGUGAGGGAUGAAGGUCUUCGGAUCGUAAAACCUCUGUCAGCAGGGAAGAACGGUCACUGUGCUAAUCAGCAGUGAAUUGACGGUACCUGCAAAGGAAGCACCGGCUAACUCCGUGCC
rnacentral:rRNA from 1 species